rnacentral:rRNA from 1 species
CAAGGAAUUUUCCGCAAUGGGCGCAAGCCUGACGGAGCAACGCCGCGUGCAGGAAGACGGCCUUCGGGUUGUAAACUGCUUUUGUCGGGGAAGAUAAUGACGGUACCCGACGAAUAAGCCCCGGCUAACUCCGUGCCAGCAGCCGCGGUAAUACGGAGGGGGCAAGCGUUGUUCGGAUUUACUGGGCGUAAAGGGCGCGUAGGCGGGGUAUCCAGUUAGGGGUGAAAGCCCGGGGCUCAACCUCGGAACUGCCUUUAAAACUGAUACUCUAGAGUCCGGAAGAGGGUCGCGGAAUUCCCAGUGUAGAGGUGAAAUUCGUAGAUAUUGGGAAGAACACCGGUGGCGAAGGCGGCGACCUGGUCCGGUACUGACGCUGAGGCGCGAAAGCGUGGGGAGCAAACAGGAUUAGAUACCCCCGUAGUCC